rnacentral:lncRNA from 1 species
AUGGUGAGCAUUUAUAAGUUGUGUACAUUUUUCCUUGCACACAACAAUCUGAAUCAUUUUCCUGGUUGCAUUGUCCGGAAGGAGCUUUUUCUCCUUUAAUUCUACCACUUGGACGGCACUGUUGGGCUUCAGAGUGCAACAAAUUUGUGAUAACAAGAAAAACUAGGAAAAGAAAGGAUGCUUUGGAGCAAAAACUCUGCAUAUUAUCUAUUUUAGCUGUGUUUUACUAUUGAAUAUUUUGUUUGAUAUGCAUGGAUUGGGAUUCU